rnacentral:rRNA from 1 species
UUCAUUUAUUCGAUUAUUUUAUUGCAAAGAAAAUAAGCGCGGGUAAACGGCGGGAGUAACUAUGACCCUCUUCUGGUAGCCAAAUGCCUCGUCAUCUAAUUAGUGACGCGCAUGA